GGCCGCGGCGGGGCGGGGCCUGCCGGCAGGGCGGGAUGGCGGCGGGCGAGCAGCAGUGCCGCGAGUACCUGCAGCGCCACCGGCUCCCCGAGCUGCUCCACCGCCUCGCCACCCUGGUCAUCUACCAGCGGCCCGAAAGCCCCCGCGAGUUCCUGAUCCAGCUGCUGGAAAAGGUGAAGGCUGGAAGGCGAGCCGAGGGGGAGUACCCUGACCUGAUGGACGAGGAGAACCUGGUGGCCAUGUUCGGCCUGCUGGAUGUCGUGGGCCGAGGCCACGUCACGGCAGCGCAGUACAGGGAAGCUCUUAAAACUUUGGGACUGAGCACUGAAGAUCUGCAGCUUGAAGAUGAUGAGGUUAUCACACUGGAUGUAUUCAAGGAAGAAGUACAGUAACACAGCUUAUAGAUGACACAAGCUGAGUUACAACAUUUCCCAUGGUCAAGGAAGAGAAAGAUGCUGGAGAGCUGGGCUGAAUAACAGUUUGACCAGUGGUCUGCUAAAUAUAUUUAAAUUAGGCAUUUUGCUCAGUUCUUCUCCUGGUUUGUCAGCUGUAGAUGGCUGAUGUUAAGCAGUAGUCUCUUUUUCCCAUUUUCCCAGCAAUCUGCUGAAAAUGGCAAAUGGUAAGAACUUGCUUGUGUGUUACCUUUUGAGAAUCACUUAAUACAAUUUUAAGAAGCAGAAAUCUCUCUUACACAACUAAAGUAGUGUUUUGGACUUUCCUCCUUCCUUUUGUAGCUGGCUUACAGUAAGGAGUUGUUACUUUUUGGCUCAUUACCAGUGAAUAAAAUUAACUUCAAGAGGUGA